rnacentral:piRNA from 1 species
GUGGGCUGGAGAGAUGGCUCAGGGGU